AGGGACAGGUGUGCGGAGGCGGGGAGGAAAAGACAAGAGCGGGGCAGACACGUGAACACAGAACAUAAAAAAAGGCACAUGGCCAAAGUCCGGGCAGAGUCCUGACACAAUCAAGACUUUCCUUUUUUCUAAGGCUUUUGCUGUAUGAUUGGGUGGGUUUCCUAUUGCCACAGAGGAAAAGAGGUAACUGGCAAGCAUCUCUUCCACCCUAGGCCAUGUCCCAUACCUGCGCACAUGCAACCCCACUAUCACCAAAUAACUAGAGGCCCAACGCACCCAGGAAGUGGCCUGGCCAGGGACAGUUCACUCCGGCACCAGGGCAGCAGCGGAGGUGCAGGGUGCAGCAGCGGAGGACACGUGCCGGUCAGAGGACCUCUCCACCCCCACCACCGCCGGUCUUCGAGGUCCCCACCCGGAACCGCUUUGCCCCCCUUCGCGAGACGGCCCAUGACACUGUGAUCAUAGGAGACUCCAUCGUCCGCCACGUCCGUGCUACUGUGGCUAAAGGUAAGGCUCGCACUCACUGCUUACCUGGUGCCCGUGUUCUUGAUGUUGCUGCACAGGUACCUAAGGUCGUGAGCAGAAACACCGGAGCCGUGGUUCUUCACGCCGGCUCAAACGACACCAGCCUGAGGCAGUCGGAGAUUCUGAAGAAAGACUUCAAAACCCUGGUGGAGAUGGUUCACACCACAGCGCCCACGGCGAGGAUCAUCAUGUCUGGACCACUUCCGACAGGCUCAGAAUCUACUCUUUGUCGAUAAUUGGAAUGUCUUCUGGGAGCGUCCUAGACUGUUCCGCGUCGACGGCCUGCACCCCAGCAGAGUUGGAGCAGAGAUCCUCUCGGUCCACAUCUCCAGGGCCCUGCACACCUUCUGACUGACAUUGUACCAGCUCCGAUCGUCUUCCGUGCGAUUAAGUUUUUGGUUUCCGCUUAGAUGAGGCCGACUCUGCGAGAAUCCUGAAGAAAACAUAUACAGAUCUACCAGCUCCAGUUGGACUCCGUGAUACUAAGAGGAGAUCUGAACUCCAUGUGAUCCUUACACCAAUACAACAUUUGUCUGAUUGUAUAUUUGGAAUCACACCACCUAGUGUCACCCAUAUGAGGAUGGGUUCUCCUUUGAGUCUGGUUCCUCUCAAGGUUUCUUCCUUUACUACUCUAAGGGAGUUUUUCCUUGCCACUGCUGCCUGAGUCACCUCAGACUUGCUCACUGGGGAUAAGCACAUACACACACUGAACUAUAUACAUUUUGAAUUUUGAACUUUUAUUAUAUUAUUUCUCUAUAUUACUCCUUAUGCUUAUCUUCUGUUCUAUGUUUACGUUCUGUAAAGCUGCUUUGAGACAAUGUCCAUUGUAAAAAGCGCUAUACAAAUAAACUUGAAUUGAAUUGAAUUGAA